rnacentral:lncRNA from 1 species
UCAGUCAUGAAACAAGAAAAAUUAGCCAUAGUCUUCCUCUUGUUUUGCUCCACUUCAGCCGAGAGAGAGAAGAGUGUUGAGAGCAAGAAAACUCCAUCUUCUUCUUCCUGUCAUCAACCGAGAACCAAGGCUGAUUCAGCCAUAGAUAUUUCACAAAAUUCCGCUAUUUCUUCAAGUUUAAACCGUAAGUGAGGGAGAGUCAAGAGAGUAGAAAGGAUCCAGCUAUGUUGGAGGGGAGAAAACAGAGGAAAGCUGGUGCAUAUCACCCUUGAGGUAUCGAAGGAGAAGCAAGUGGCUAUCUGCAUUUUUUUUCAGCUUUGAUUUGUGAGGAAAAAGGGAGGUAACAAUUGCUAUAAAACCCCUCAUUUUUCUAUUACUCUUGAGUACUCUAGUUGUAUGUUAAAUUUAAGCCAAAAGGUGGGAGUUUAGUGGAAGAAAAAUAUACUUUUCUAAGUUAUAGGUUGCUGGAAUUUAGUGACAUAUGCUGAUAGUUUUGAUUUGCAGCUUUGUAUUUGGAACUUUGAUGGGUUUCCUUGCUAAGAACUUAGGUCAUAUGAUUAAUCCUAUGUUAAAAAUGAUAUAUGGUGUAUUUGCCAUGAAAAUGAGUGAGAAAUUAGUGGCUUGGAUGAAAGAAAUUUUGAAGGAACCUGGUUGGAAAAAAAAAUCUGUGGGCUGACCAAUUGCAUAAAGUUGAAUAUAUCAGUUUUACUUUAAAUUUGGAGUGAAGUUUUGCUAAGAUUUCAUGUUUUAUAUCAUGACAACCGUGUAUAUAGAAGUUAGUAUGUGUAUAUGGUUGAAUCAUAGUUGUAUGUUCAUUGAUUUGGCUGAAAAUUUGUCUAAGAGAGCUUGAGAAAAAUUGGAGGAACUUUGUUCCAUCCUUGUCACAGCCUGCUAUCUCAUCCCUUUGAGGGGUUUGUACUAGGAAGUCAUGCUCUAAAUAUUAUAUUUUGUGUUUAGUAUGCUAUAGCAUGUUGUCUUUGAAUUUGGUAGCAAAUUGCUGGCUUAAAUGUGAGUUAUUAGCAGCAAUAAAGUUGGAAUAACUCAAGUGAAAGGUUGAAUUUCGAGUGACAGUCACCCUUGGGCAGUUUUAGUAAAAUGAUCAUAACGUAGUCUAAAAAAAAUCAAAAUUAAGUGCCGUCUAUUGCGUUUGAAACUAGACUCAUAGAUCUUUCUAACGGUAUAAAAUUGGAGCUGUGGCUCAUUUUACAUAUGCACCAGAAAAUCGCCCAAGUUGACUGAAAAAUGUGCCCUGCACAAAUAAAAACUGGGAUGUUGUAGUAAAUUGUGCCUCAAUUUGGACUAAUUUAUGAACCGAAUCUCCUUGAGGUGUUUCUUUAAGAUUGUUAGUAUUUCAAGUCUAGUUUUAAAUGAGCCAAGUUGUACAAGUUUUUGACAUUUAUAACUCAAGUUAUGAUUUUUCCAAAGAAAUAAUGCUUGCUGGAAUUUCAGCUUUGAUUGCUAAAUUUUGAAGAUGAUUUUAACCUCAAUUUGCUCAAAAUACCAUAUAAGACUUUAAACUACAAGUAUGUGUUGGAAAUGAACCAAAACCAUGGACCUUAAGUGGUUUAGACUCUAUUUAUCUCACUGUUUUCAUAGCUGGAAUUCUACUCAAGGCUGACCGAAAGAGAUAGUGAUUUUGUUUAGCUUUACAAUUGGCUUUGUUUGGUGAAAUCAUCUUGUUAAUGUCUUAAACAUAUGAUUAGACAUUAAUUUUGGUAUGAGUAGUGAAUUGAAGUAGAAAAUGAAGGUUGAGAGGUGAAAAAUUCACUUUCACAUGUUUCAUGUCCCAAGCGAUAAAUUUCCAGUUUUAGUUGAGGAAAAUGAGUGUUAAUAUGUUAAUAUCAUGUUUAAUAUAAAUGUUAGCCAUGUCAUGUGAUUUUUCUAGCUUGUGCAUGUUCUAUUAGUUUGCAUUUGGAAAUUUCAGCUUGUAGAUUUGAACUUUUGCUUGAUGGCCAGCCUUGGUAUGGAGACAUGUGAGUUGAAUACUUGUCUAUUUUUGGGGGCUUUAUGGUCUGAAACUAGUAGCUUGUAUAGCCUAUCAUUUGUGGUCUUGAUUUGGAUGGCUUGGCCAUGAAAUUUUGUAUUGAAUUUGGAGAGGAAAUAUAGGAUAAAACAGGGGUUAUGCUGUCCAAAUUUUGGGGCAGCUUACUACCUUGAUUUUGGACUGAUUUGGUGAUGUACUUGCCUAAUAUGCUUAGUGAACCUUUAAGCUUUGCUUAUGUAUUGCAUUCUGGUUGAAAUGGAAGGGUUUCAUUGCGAUUUUCUUCCAAAUUGCUGGCUAAAAUUGUGCUUGUUUGUCGAUGGAGAGUGCAGCCUAUUACAUUGUUGUUUUUCUAACCUUUUAGUAAUUGGUUUUGGCCAAAACUUGUUCCAAACUUUGGAGGAGCCUUUUGUGCGUGAAUUUGAAUGAAAACUAUGAAGAUUGGGAGGUGAAAACCUCAUGAUUGUACUUGUUUCAUGGCUGCGAAAAAUUCUGAUUUGGAGAACAGUUUUGCACCUUGCUACCUUUUAGCCUCAACGUCUUUAGUUUGAAAGUCUUUUGGACACAACCUCGCUGACUUGACUUGAGAAAACCUUGUUUCUUUCAUUGGUUCGCUGCUGGAAAAUUUCCCGCCAUGAAGCGAAUAAGGAACUUGUUGGUUAUUCAUGUUUCUUGAGUCCAAAAUGCUCUUAUACGCUUCAAAACCCUACUUGAGUUUUUGCCCUAGAAUAUACUUAAAUUUUUCCUUGAUUUGCAUUCUAAAUAUGGCUGUGUAUGUUGGGUUUUGAAAAAAUUCAACUUGGAGAGGUAUACGACUCAUAGCCGAGUCUAAAUUAUGAAUUCUAUUCACUUGGCUAUUCUUAGGGCUUGUCUGAUCAAGGG